rnacentral:rRNA from 1 species
CUGGGAUUAGAUACCCCACUAUGCCAUACCCUAAAUUUCACUUACACUUAAAACGCCAGGGUACUACGAGCCCCGCUUAAAACCCAAAGGAUUUGACGGUGUUCCACCCAACUAGAGGAGCCUGUUCUAUAAUCGACAAUCCACGAUACACCUAACCAUUUUUUGCCACUCAGCCUGUAUACCUCCGUCGUAAGCUUAUCAUUUGAAUGAGAAAAAGUAAGCACAAGGACUAAAAGCCAAAACGUCAGGUCAAGGUGCAGCUUAUAAAAUGGAAGAAAUGAGCUACAAUUUCUAAUUUAGAACACACGAAUUACUGCAUGAAACAAAGUCAUGAAGGUGGAUUUAGCAGUAAGUAAGGAAUAGAGAGCCUUACUUAAUUUGGCCCUGGAACGUGUACACACCGCCCGUCACCCU